GAUGAACGCUAGCGGCAUGCUUUACACAUGCAAGUCGCACGGUAACAGGCCUUCGGGCGCUGACGAGUGGCGAACGGGUGAGUAAUGCAUCGGAACGUGCCCAGUCGUGGGGGAUAACGCAGCGAAAGCUGUGCUAAUACCGCAUACGAUCUGCGGAUGAAAGCGGGGGACCUUCGGGCCUCGCGCGAUUGGCGCGGCCGAUGUCAGAUUAGGUAGUUGGUGGGGUAAAGGCUCACCAAGCCAACGAUCUGUAGCUGGUCUGAGAGGACGACCAGCCACCCUGUGAGUGAGACACGGCCCAGACUCCUACGUGAGGCAGCAGUGGGGAAUGUGGGACAAUGGGCGCGAUCCUGAUCGAGCAAUGCCGCGUGCAGGAAGAAGGCCUUCGGGUUGUAAACUGCUUUUGUACGGAGCGAAAAGGCUCCCUCUAAUACAGGGGGCUCAUGACGGUACCGUAAGAAUAAGCACCGGCUAACUACGUGCCAGCCGCCGCAGUAAUAC
rnacentral:rRNA from 1 species